AAGGAUUUAAGUUAACAAAACUAAUAGCCUUCAAAGCUGCAAAUAAAGAAAGCCCGCUUUAAGCCUUA
rnacentral:tRNA from 1 species